rnacentral:lncRNA from 1 species
UGGGGAUCAUUUGUCGAGGAAGCUCGAUCGAAGCCUGCCUACAAUAGAAGUUUGGAGGGAAUUCGUUCAUAAUAGAAGCUCAGGUAGAGGCUUACAGUAGAAAUCUGACGUGGACCAUUCGUAGUAGAAAUUCGAAGUAGACCGCUUGUUGUGGCAGCUCGGAGUAGACCGCUUGUAGUAGAAAUUUGAAGUAGACCGCUUGUAGUAGAAGUU